rnacentral:lncRNA from 1 species
GUGUUACCCACCAUAAACCUUUUGCACACUCCUGACUGUUUCAGCAUCGGCUUCCUGGAAUCUUGGGAGACCCAACUCACACAAUCAUAGUUUAACAGAAUCAUCACUUUACACAUCAACCCAGGUCUGAGAAUUUGAACCCAUCUCGCUCCUCUGUUGUCAUGACGUCCACCUGCAAUACUGACCUCUUCAAUGUCUUCUGGGCCCUUUCCCCACCAUCACUGCCCUUGUUUGGGCAUAUGGUCCCCUUCAAGGACCAAUGCUUCACUCAGCAAGUGCCUUUCCUCACUCCCAGAUGGCCCCAUCCAAUCCACCCUCCACAGGCUUCUAAAGCUCUUUGGUCUGUUGUUCAAUUGUCCUUGAUGGCGUCUGUCUUCAGUUAUGAUUAAGUUUGGCUGCUUAUUACAGAAAACCCCAAAUAAUAGCAGCUUAGACAUGAUAAAAUUUCAUUUCUCUCACUUUCAAGAAGUCUGGAAGUGGCCAUUCCAGGGCUACUGCCAUGCUCUAUGGUUUCAGAGACCCAGGUUCCUUCUGUGUUAUUGCUCUGCCAUGUGUAGCUUUCAUUUAUCCCCAAGGUCACCUCAUUAUCCAAUAUGGCUGCUCAAGUGCCAGCCACAUAUCUACAUUCUAGCUAGCAGGAAGGAAGAAGGGAUAAAGGUCACAAUUUCAUCCUCUAAAGACCCUUUCUAGAAAUUGCACAUGCAACUUCCACUUAUAUCUCAUAGGCCAGAAUUUAGUCUGUUGUCUCACAUAGCUGCAAGGGAGGCUGGGGCAUAUAUAUCUUAUGUUGAGUAAAGUACACAUAUUUAAGUGUGCAUCUCGAUAAAUGUGUACAUAUGUCUAUACCUGAGUCAGCACAACCAGGACCAAGACAGCGAGAGCCUUUCAGUGCCUCAGCAGACUCCCUUGUGUGGCUCCCAGUUUUGAGACCUCCCCUGGGUCACCACUAUCCUGACCUCCUGCUGUAGAUGACUUUCACCUGUUUUGGACCUUUGAAUACAUCGAAACAUUCAGUGUGGAAUUUUUGUAUCUGUCUGCUUUCACUCAGCCUUACGUCUAUGAGAUUCAUCCAUGUUGUUGCAUGAGGCAAUAAUUUGAUCUUUUUUCAUGCUCUGUAGUAUUCCACCACAAUUUAUUUACCCAUUCUCUUGUUGAUGGACAUUUGGGCUGUUUCCAGUUUUUGGCUAUUUUUAAUCAAGCUUCUGUGAACAUUUGAGUACAUGUCUUUUGGUGGACAUGUGUUUUUAAUUCUCUUGGGUAUUUAUCCAGGAGCAGAAUUGCUGAAGGAUGUGAAACCAUUAUUCAGAUGGCCACGUAUUCAGCUGAAAUCCUCAGCAUUCUGUUAUUAUGGAAGAAGGGGAGAAGGAACAUUGGGAGCAAACCAGUAAUUCCAUGGUGCCGCACUGUCUACACACGGAAACCAAGCCACCCUGGUGUUCAGACACACAGCUCUCUACCAAUAGCUCCGCACCUGCCUCUCCAGCCUUAGCUUUCACUCUGCUCUGCCCUGCCCUCUCCCCGUUGUGUCAGAUACUUUCCUGCCUGUGGGUCUUUCUCACACUCCUCCACCGGCCUGGGAUGCAUCCUCCUCCUCUCUUCCCUCACCCUGCAGCCCUGCCCCUGCUCACCUGAAUCCCGCUCAGCCUCGAAGUGCAGCACAGGUGUUACCACCUACAGGCAGCCUCCCCCGUGCCCCAGGGUGGGACCGAUUUCUUUAUACCGUCUGCUUCUGUGGCGUGUUCUACCUUGGCAAAUCCAUGGAGCACAUUUGCCUUGUUGUAAUCAUCUCAUGCAUCCCAGAAUUUGGAAUGGGCAGGAUCCCGGAGGUCCUGAAAGCCCACAGGAGCUUGUCUAAUUACUCCCAAGAUGGCUGACCUUGCAUUUCAUUGAGCUCUCCGGGUCUUUAUCUUCCCUUGUCAGUGCUCUCCUUUCUCUCUACUUCCCUCCUGAUCCAUUGUUUCAAUAAAUAAGAACUAACGCCCUUGCACCUUUAUCUUUCAAAGCAUGCAUCCGGCACACUCUCCAUGGUGGACGAAUCCAGCCAUCUGCUUUCUCCCCGCUGGCCCACGGAGCUGAACGUUACCAGGCAGAUUGGAUCCACCCCGUCUCAGAUGGCCCCAAUCUCAGCACUGCCCAGAAUGUCUGCCUCUGGUCUGCAAAAUUUGACAAAUGCAUACAGUCAUGCACAUACCACCACAAUCAAGAUACAGAAGAGUUCCAUCACCCAACUUCCUGGGCCCCUUUGUGGUUAGCCCCCCCCAACCCCCCAGCAACCAUGGAUAUGUUUUUGGUUCCUUACAGUUAUACCUUUCCCAGUAUGUUAUAGAGAUGGGAUCAUGGGUAUGUUUUCCAUUCCCUACGGUCUUACCAUCCCAGGAUGCCAUGUAAAUGGGAUCAUCUGCUGUAGACCUGCUGGGCAUUGACUUCUUUCACUCAGGAUAAUGCCUUUGAAAUUCAUCGUGUUGCACUUCUCUGUAGUUUGUUCCUGUUUAUGGCAGAGUAGUAUUCCACUGUAUGAUGCAUCACAGUUUAUUCAUUCAUUCACCAGGUGAAGGCUAUUUGGGCAGCUUCCAGUUUUUGGUAAUUAGGAGAAAAGUCACUUUAAACAUUGGUGUACAGGUUUUUGUGUGAAACUAAGUUUUCACUUCUCUUGGGUAAAUAUCUGAGCGUGAGAUUGCUGGCUCAUAGGUUUCACUGCAAAACUCUUUUCCGGAGUGGCUGUGCCCGUUUGCAUCCCCACCAAUGAUGGGGGAGAGUUCCUGUCGCUCUGCAUUCUCACCAGCAGUUGGUGGCGUCAGGUUUGUUAUUUUUAAUUUUAGUUAUUCCAAUAUGGUAUGUUAUUGUGGUUUUAAAUUAAAUUUUCCUAAUGACUGAUCAUGUUGACCAUCUUUUCAUGUGCUUAUUUGCUAUCCAUGUAUCUUUUUUGGUGAAG